AUUGAACGCUGGCGGCAGGCUUAACACAUGCAAGUCGAACGAGUGGCGGACGGGUGAGUAAUGCAUGGGAAUGUAGCUAGUGGAGGGGGAUAACUACGGGAAACUGUAGCUACUACCGCGUACCAUAGGAUGAGCCGAAGUGGGAUUAGGUAGUUGGUGAGGUAAAGGCUAACCAAGCCGACGAUCUGUAGCUGGUCUGAGAGGAUGACCAGCCACACUGGGACUGAGACACGGCCCAGACUCCUACGGGAGGCAGCAGUGGGGAAUAUUGGGCAAUGGGGGCAACCUGACGCAGCCAUGCCGCGUGUAUGAAGAAGGCCUUCGGGUUGUAAAGUACUUUCGGUAGGGAGGCGUUACCUACAGAAGAAGCACCGGCUAACUCCGUGCCAGCAGCCGCGGUAAUAC
rnacentral:rRNA from 1 species